GAUCAUGGCUCAGAUUGAACGCUGGCGGAAUGCUUUACACAUGCAAGUCGAACGGCAGCACGGACUUCGGUCUGGUGGCGAGUGGCGAACGGGUGAGUAAUAUAUCGGAACGUGCCCAGUCGUGGGGGAUAACUACUCGAAAGAGUGGCUAAUACCGCAUACGAUCUACGGAUGAAAGCGGGGGACCUUCGGGCCUCGCGCGAUUGGAGCGGCCGAUAUCAGAUUAGGUAGUUGGUAGGGUAAAAGCCUACCAAGCCUGCGAUCUGUAGCUGGUCUGAGAGGACGACCAGCCACACUGGAACUGAGACACGGUCCAGACUCCUACGGGAGGCAGCAGUGGGGAAUUUUGGACAAUGGGCGAAAGCCUGAUCCAGCAAUGCCGCGUGCAGGACGAAGGCCUUCGGGUUGUAAACUGCUUUUGUACGGAACGAAAAGGUAGCUCCUAAUACGAGCUGCCGAUGACGGUACCGUAAGAAUAAGCACCGGCUAACUACGUG
rnacentral:rRNA from 1 species